rnacentral:rRNA from 1 species
UACGGAGGGUGCAAGCGUUAUCCGGAUUCACUGGGUUUAAAGGGUGCGUAGGCGGGCAGGUAAGUCAGUGGUGAAAUCCUAGAGCUUAACUCUAGAACUGCCAUUGAUACUAUCUGUCUUGAAUAUUGUGGAGGUAAGCGGAAUAUGUCAUGUAGCGGUGAAAUGCUUAGAUAUGACAUAGAACACCUAUUGCUAAGGCAGCUUACUACGCAUAUAUUGACGCUGAGGCACGAAAGCGUGGGGAUCAAACAGG